rnacentral:rRNA from 1 species
CAGUGAGGAAUAUUGCGCAAUGGGGGCAACCCUGACGCAGCGACGCCGCGUGGGUGAGGAAGGCUUUCGGGUCGUAAAACCCUGUCAGGAGGGAAGAAGUGCUUAUAAGCUAAUACCUUGUAAGUUUGACGGUACCUUCAAAGGAAGCACCGGCUAACUCCGUGCCAGCAGCCGCGGUAAUACGGAGGGUGCAAGCGUUGUUCGGAAUCACUGGGCGUAAAGGGCGCGUAGGCGGCUUGGCAAGUCAGAUGUGAAAGCCCACGGCUUAACCGUGGAAGUGCAUUUGAAACUGCUUGGCUUGAGUAUCAGAGGGGAAAGUGGAAUUCCCGGUGUAGAGGUGAAAUUCGUAGAUAUCGGGAGGAAUACCGGUGGCGAAGGCGACUUUCUGGCUGAAUACUGACGCUGAGGCGCGAAAGCGUGGGGAGCAGACAGGAUUAGAUACCCUGGUAGUCCACGCCGUAAACGAUGUCAACUAGGUGCAGGGGGUGUUGAUCCCCUCUGUGUCGCAGCUAACGCAUUAAGUUGACCGCCUGGGGAGUACGGUCGCAAGAUUAAAACUCAAAGGAAUUGACGG